CCCUUAGAUGUCCUGGGCUGCACGCGUGCUACAAUGAUACGUGCAACGAGUUAAUCCUGCUCUGAAAGGAGUGGGUAAUCUUAUGAAUGCGUAUCGUGCUUGGGAUUGACCAUUGUAAUUAUUGGUCAUGAACGAGGAAUUCCUAGUAAGCACAAGUCAUCAGCUUGUGUUGAUUACGUCCCUGCCCUUUGUACACACCGCCCGUCGCUCCUACCGAUUGAAUGUUCCGGUGAGCUCUUCGGACUGCGCGGUCUGCAGUUUCUGCGUUCCGUGCGGAAAGUUGCGCAAACCUUAACAUUUAGAGGAAGGAGAAGUCGUAACA
rnacentral:rRNA from 1 species